rnacentral:rRNA from 1 species
UGGGGAAUAUUGCACAAUGGGGGAAACCCUGAUGCAGCGACGCCGCGUGAACGAAGAAGGUAUUCGUAUCGUAAAGUUCUGUCCUAUGGGAAGAUAAUGACAGUACCAUAGAAGAAAGCUCCGGCUAAAUACGUGCCAGCAGCCGCGGUAAUACGUAUGGAGCGAGCGUUGUCCGGAAUUAUUGGGCGUAAAGGGUACGCAGGCGGUUUAAUAAGUCGAAUGUUAAAGAUCGGGGCUCAACCCCGUAAAGCAUUGGAAACUGAUAAACUUGAGUAGUGGAGAGGAAAGUGGAAUUCCUAGUGUAGUGGUGAAAUACGUAGAUAUUAGGAAGAAUUCCAGUAGCGAAGGCGACUUUCUGGACACAAACUGACGCUGAGGUACGAAAGCGUGGGGAGCAAACAGG